CCUUAUGGUGGCUGUGCGUGGGGCACGUUCGCGUGCGCCGGGUAAGUUCCUCUGUCGACCGGUCUGUCAACCCACGUACAGCUGCCACCCAU
rnacentral:antisense_RNA from 5 species